GACCAGACUCCUACGGGAGGCAGCAGUGGGGAAUAUUGCACAAUGGGGGAAACCCUGAUGCAGCGACGCCGCGUGAGCGAUGAAGUAUUUCGGUAUGUAAAGCUCUAUCAGCAGGGAAGAAAAUGACGGUACCUGACUAAGAAGCCCCGGCUAACUACGUGCCAGCAGCCGCGGUAAUACGUAGGGGGCAAGCGUUAUCCGGAUUUACUGGGUGUAAAGGGAGCGUAGACGGCUGUGCAAGCCAGAUGUGAAAGCCCGGGGCUCAACCCCGGGACUGCAUUUGGAACUGUGUGGCUGGAGUGUCGGAGAGGCAGGCGGAAUUCCUAGUGUAGCGGUGAAAUGCGUAGAUAUUAGGAGGAACACCAGUGGCGAAGGCGGCCUGCUGGGCUUUAACUGACGCUGAGGCUCGAAAGCGUGGGGAGCAAACAGGAUUAGAUACCCUAGUA
rnacentral:rRNA from 1 species